UACGAAAGGGGCUAGCGUUGUUCGGAAUUACUGGGCGUAAAGCGCACGUAGGCGGCCUUGUAAGAUGGGGGUGAAAUCCCCGGGCUCAACCCGGGAACUGCCUUCAUGACUGCAAGGCUAGAGGUUGAGAGAGGUGAGUGGAAUUCCGAGUGUAGAGGUGAAAUUCGUAGAUAUUCGGAAGAACACCAGUGGCGAAGGCGGCUCACUGGCCCGAAUCUGACGCUGAGGUGCGAAAGCGUGGGGAGCAAACAGG
rnacentral:rRNA from 1 species